UGUAUUUGCAGUUUCAAGCUACCCCCCAUACAUAUGCUGGCCACAUUCUCUUUCCUAAGCACCGGCAUCUGGGCAGUUAUAAAGAAAUAAAGGGAAGAAAAGGAGAUUUUCCCAUGAUGUUGGUAGGAUUUUGCCAAAUCCUCCAAGGAUGUGAUAUAUGGACCUUCCUUCCUCUUUUCAUUACCCCUUUUCUCCACUCCCCUCCCCCCAUGGGGCCUAUCAGGUUACCCGGUCCAGCCCAACCUUACAGUCAAAACGUCCUACCUCUAAGUUGCUACCAAAGGGUCUUUGGCCUGUGUGUGCACACUUAUCAACUAAUGGUUGGCCUUUUGAGGAGAAACUGUGUGAUGGUACAUGUACAGUCUGUCUCUGCCUCUUCUUUUGCUCCCCUACCAUGCAUAUCCUACCUGAACUUCAACUCUCUUCCCAUUUUUAUGACCGUGUUGUUUGAAUAUGGACUGUGGCUUGUAGGGAUGCGAUGACCCCUGAGACCAGAGAACGGAAACUCCUCAGCUGAUGAGAGGCCAUUGGCAGUUUGUUCAGUCCAUGGUAGGGGCCAAAGCCAGAAAUACUUAUUGGGAGUGCCGAAGGCUUUAGCUGUAUUAUAUAUUAGUUCAAAUGUGCUGGGUUAAGGGGUAGUUUAGGAUCUAAUGAGAAAAAAAUGCCAUUUAGUAUAAUGGAGAAGAAAACAGAACCUGUGAUUUUUUUUUUUUUUUUAAUCAAAGUGGUAGUGUUCAGCCUUGCCGUCAAGUAGAGGGUACCUCAAAAUAUAUGGUCCUUUCCCCCUCGUUCUUUCUUACCUUCCACUUUUAUUUCUUCUCUGUUGUCCUGCCUUUUUAGUACUCAGCUUUUUAUAUAUAAGUAUUUACUUUUUUUAAACUAUAUAUUUGGUCCUUUGGGACUGUGUGAUGAUUAAAUUGUAUUCCAUUCAAGAUAUAAAACUAUAUGUUUAAUAUUUUAUUCUCUAAAAUUGUCUUUUGAAGCUAUGCUGCUAUCCAGGUACAGGCCAGAAAGGAAUUGGGCCUGACAGCAUCUUGGUCAUGUCACCAGAGGGUGACUCUGAUGUCAUGAUGAUGACUCUUAUUGAUUUGACCAAGGGCAGCCUCCUGUUUAUACCUCUGCCCAUUCAUUUCUGGCCAUGGGAAAUAGACCAGCUCUUGGGUGAGCCAUUGAAGCCAGGAGGAUCAUAAAGGCCAGGGUCCAGCCCAUGGGCACCACGUGAAUUUCUCUGUAGGAAGCUCAUUUGGAGGGCUGGCUUCAGUCGCAGUAGCCAAAGAAAAUCUGUCUGACUGGACGUUUGAAUUCCUAAGAGUUGAUCAAAGUUCAGCUGAAGCUUAUGUGUAGAUAUCUGUAGUUGCUUGGCAUCCAGAAAUGAGCUUCAACCAAAGCUAAUACAGUCCAAGUUUCCAUAGAAACUUGGUGCUGAGCUGUUUAGACCAGUCAUUUAUCAGAGGGUUGCCAACCUUUCAGUCACGCUUUUGUAGCUUUAUCCUUACCUGCUCACAGACACACAGCCCGAUCCAAAGCUGUGGCUUACUGCUCACUUUGCUCUGCUCCCUGGUCACGUAUAGUGACAUAGUGUAAAAAGGAAAAAAAAAAGAUUGGGGAGUUAGGUGACCUGGUUUGUAUUCCCUAUGCUUCUACUAAGUAGCCUCAAGAUCUUAACCGCUCUGUGCCUCAGUGUUCCCAUCUGCAAAAUGGGGAUAGUGUAAAUUGCCCUACCUACCUCACAGGGUUGUUGUGAGGAUCAACUGAGACAAUGAAUGGAAAGCACUUUGACAAGUGAGUGCUAUGCAAAUUGUGAAGAAAUGGAAACAAUCUUGUUCAAGGCAGUGGAUGGACAUUAGCAGAAGGGUUAAUGGGAUCGUCCAGCCCUUUCUCUGUGUGGCUUAAACCUAGGUUGCCAUUGCUUUAUACAUUUUCACUUAGCACAGAUUUGUAAUUAUGCAUGUAAUAAAGCACAGCCUUAUCCAACUCG
rnacentral:lncRNA from 1 species